rnacentral:rRNA from 1 species
GACGAACGCUGGCGGCGUGCUUAACACAUGCAAGUCGAACGGAAAGGCCCUGCUUUUGUGGGGUGCUCGAGUGGCGAACGGGUGAGUAACACGUGAGUAACCUGCCCUUGACUUUGGGAUAACUUCAGGAAACUGGGGCUAAUACCGGAUAGGAGCUCCUGCUGCAUGGUGGGGGUUGGAAAGUUUCGGCGGUUGGGGAUGGACUCGCGGCUUAUCAGCUUGUUGGUGGGGUAGUGGCUUACCAAGGCUUUGACGGGUAGCCGGCCUGAGAGGGUGACCGGAGCAGUGGGGAGUGGGGUACGGCCGGGAGGGGUGGGGUGGGGAGGAGGGGGGGGCAGGGGACAGGGGGGGGGAUUGUAAAGCGGGAGCGCCGGGGGCGGGGGGAGGGGGAUGGGGGUGUAAACCGCUGCCGCCUGUAACGAGGCGUGAGCGGCGGUAAUGAGGAAAGAAACACAGACUAAUUACACG